rnacentral:lncRNA from 1 species
AAGCCCAAGAGUAAGCUAUGUGAGGUUGAUGGCGAUGCUUAAAAGCAAUCAACUUACAAGGGUAUGAAAAUGGACUCGACAUUAAAUCGAGAAAAGUGUGAUUUUAAUAGUUUUAAAAUGGUUUUGAAUGAAUGAUGAAAUUAAAAGAAAGCAGAUCAACCAUGAGUAUAAUAAAACAUAAACAUAAAAAAUGCUAAAAGAAAUAAAAUGCUAAAAGAAAAUAAAAUGCCAAAAAAUGAAUGAUGAAAUUAAAAGAAAGCAGAUCAACCAUGAGUAUAAUAAAACAUAAACAUAAAAAAUGCUAAAAGAAAUAAAAUGCUAAAAGAAAAUAAAAUGCCAAAGGAAAAAAAAUGCUACAUAUCAGUAUUGAACCCUCUCCACUUAAGAUCAUGAAACUACCCUCUCUCCACUAGGCCAUUUAUGACUAGUUGUUAUUUUGAUGCUAGAUUGGAUAAAUAAACUAAAAUGGAUUAAAAAUCAGAAUUAAAAUAACAAAACUAAUAAAAGAGAAAACUGUUGGACUAACCUAAUUAAACCCAGCCGCCUGGCUGUUGGGUUUUUCAAUGGGGGUAUAAAUUGAAAAUAUAAAAAAAACAUUUAUUAACUAAUACCUAGGAAAAUUAAAUGAAUUUUAAUAGUUUUUAAAAAAUGACUUAUUCUAUCUAAAAUAAAUUAGAGAAAAAAAUGAAAAAA